ACUCCUACGGUGGAGGCAGUCAGGGUGGGAAUAUUGCACAAUGGGCGCAAGCCUGAUGCAGCCAUGCCGCGUGUGUGAAGAAGGCCUUCGGGUUGUAAAGCACUUUCAGUCGUGAGGAAGGUAGUGUAGUUAAUAGCUGCAUUAUUUGACGUUAGCGACAGAAGAAGCACCGGCUAACUCCGUGCCAGCAGCCGCGGUAAUACGGAGGGUGCGAGCGUUAAUCGGAAUUACUGGGCGUAAAGCGCAUGCAGGUGGUUUGUUAAGUCAGAUGUGAAAGCCCGGGGCUCAACCUCGGAAUUGCAUUUGAAACUGGCAGACUAGAGUACUGUAGAGGGGGGUAGAAUUUCAGGUGUAGCGGUGAAAUGCGUAGAGAUCUGAAGGAAUACCGGUGGCGAAGGCGGCCCCCUGGACAGAUACUGACACUCAGAUGCGAAAGCGUGGGGAGCAAACAGGAUUAGAUACCCUGGUAGCUACGAGU
rnacentral:rRNA from 1 species